GACGAACGCUGGCGGCGUGCUUAACACAUGCAAGUCGAGCGGUAAGGCCCUUCGGGGUACACGAGCGGCGAACGGGUGAGUAACACGUGGGUGACCUGCCCCCUACUCUGGGAUAAGCCUGGGAAACUGGGUCUAAUACCGGAUAUGACUCAUGAUCGCAUGGUUGUGGGUGGAAAGUUUUUUCGGUGGGGGAUGGGCCCGCGGCCUAUCAGCUUGUUGGUGGGGUGAUGGCCUACCAAGGCGACGACGGGUAGCCGGCCUGAGAGGGCGACCGGCCACACUGGGACUGAGACACGGCCCAGACUCCUACGGGAGGCAGCAGUGGGGAAUAUUGCACAAUGGGCGAAAGCCUGAUGCAGCGACGCCGCGUGAGGGAUGACGGCCUUCGGGUUGUAAACCUCUUUCAGCAGGGACGAAGCGCAAGUGACGGUACCUGCAGAAGAAGCACCGGCUAACUACGUGCCAGCAGCCGCCGUAACAC
rnacentral:rRNA from 1 species